AUUACUUUGGCAGAAUAGUGUUUUAAAUUUAGAAUUUAAAUAUGUAUAAAUUUUAUACAAGUAGUA
rnacentral:tRNA from 1 species